AGUGAACGCUGGCGGUAGGCCUAACACAUGCAAGUCGAACGGCAGCACAGUAAGAGCUUGCUCUUACGGGUGGCGAGUGGCGGACGGGUGAGGAAUACAUCGGAAUCUACUUUUUCGUGGGGGAUAACGCAGGGAAACUUACGCUAAUACCGCAUACGACCUACGGGUGAAAGCAGGGGAUCUUCGGACCUUGCGCGAUUGAAUGAGCCGAUGUCGGAUUAGCUAGUUGGCGGGGUAAAGGCCCACCAAGGCGACGAUCCGUAGCUGGUCUGAGAGGAUGAUCAGCCACACUGGAACUGAGACACGGUCCAGACUCCUACGGGAGGCAGCAGUGGGGAAUAUUGGACAAUGGGCGCAAGCCUGAUCCAGCCAUACCGCGUGGGUGAAGAAGGCCUUCGGGUUGUAAAGCCCUAUUGUUGGGAAAGAAAAGCAGCAGGUUAAUACCCCGCUGUUCUGACGGUACCCAAAGAAUAAGCACCGGCUAACUUCGUG
rnacentral:rRNA from 1 species